rnacentral:rRNA from 1 species
GACGAACGCUGGCGGCGUGCCUAAUACAUGCAAGUUGAGCGCUGAAGGUUGGUACUUGUACCGACUGGAUGAGCAGCGAACGGGUGAGUAACGCGUGGGGAAUCUGCCUUUGAGCGGGGGACAACAUUUGGAAACGAAUGCUAAUACCGCAUAAAAACUUUAAACACAAGUUUUAAGUUUGAAAGAUGCAAUUGCAUCACUCAAAGAUGAUCCCGCGUUGUAUUAGCUAGUUGGUGAGGUAAAGGCUCACCAAGGCGAUGAUACAUAGCCGACCUGAGAGGGUGAUCGGCCACAUUGGGACUGAGACACGGCCCAAACCCCUACGGGAGGCAGCAGUAGGGAAUCUUCGGCAAUGGACGAAAGUCUGACCGAGCAACGCCGCGUGAGUGAAGAAGGGUUUCGGAUCGUAAAACUCGGUUGGUAGAGAAGAACGUUGGUGAGAGUGGAAAGCUCAUCAAGUGACGGUAACUACACAGAAAGGGACGGCUAACUACGUG